GCCUGGGUGGCUCAGUCAGUUAAGCGUCUGACUUGGGCUCAGGUCAUGCAUGAUCUCGUGUUCGUGAGUUCGAGCCCCACAUCGGGCU
rnacentral:tRNA from 1 species